GAUGAAGAACGUAGCAAAAUGCGAUAAGUAAUGUGAAUUGCAGAAUUCAGUGAAUCAUCGAAUCUUUGAACGCACAUUGCGCCCGCUGAUAUUCCGGCGGGCAUGCCUGUUCGAGCGUCAUUUCAACCCUCAAGCCCCCGGGUUUGGUGUUGGGGAUCGGCUCUGCCCUUCUGGGCGGUGCCGCCCCCGAAAUACAUUGGCGGUCUCGCUGCAGCCUCCAUUGCGUAGUAGCUAACACCUCGCAACUGGAACGCGGCGCGGCCAUGCCGUAAAACCCCAACUUCUGAAUGUUGACCUCGGAUCAGGUAGGAAUACCCGCUGAACUUAAGCAUAUCAAUAAGCGGAGGA
rnacentral:misc_RNA from 1 species